rnacentral:lncRNA from 1 species
CUUUCAUUCAUUUACUUACUUAUCUUAAGAAUAAUGAAAUAUAAAAAAGGUUUAAAGUUGAGAAUAGUUUUGAUCUUUACUAGUGUGAUUCUAUUGCCAAGUUUUUUGAAGGUGAUCAAUCAUUUCUCGAUACAAAUGUUGCAAAAAAAAUAGAAGUUAUUAAAUGUUGGUGGCUCAUAAUGCAGUGCAUUUGAGAAGGGCAUGCUUUCAAAGGUUAAGACCGCUUUCCUGAUUCCUACAACAACAAAAAAACUUUAAAAUGCUGGUGGCAAUACUUUAAAGAGAGUAUCUGAUCAAAAAGAAGGUGAAUGACGUCAACUGUUCGAACAUUCGAUUCUUGGAAAUUAACAAGUGGAAAAAUAAGUUUACUAAAUUGUAAUUUAUAAAACU